UUGAAUUUUUUAUUUAGAAUUAUCAUGGUGAGGAUCUUGGAGUUGAAAUGCUGAGUUUUAUGAAAGCAGUGGAGGCUGGAAGACAAUCCAACAAAAAGCAGUUUACUCUAGAUGCACACUUUGUGGUCAAGAACACUAUAAGGAAGGUCAACAAGCAGCCCAUUACUCAAAAGGAAUUGGACCACAAUGUGCAAAUUACAAUUUGAUAAGUCUUUAUUUGCCAUGUUAAAGCGUAAUUUAUUUAUUUGCUAGUCCAGAAUUAUAUUUCUGUUGAUAUGCGGCCAUUUUCUUCGGUCCACAACGCUUGUUUAAGAAGUUUGCUGCUGGCGCUGGUCGACAACCAAGAGAUCAGAAGUCCAAAAUUUUAUCGACAGCUACUAGACAAGGAGUGCGAGGAAAAGACUAAGCUACUGAAAGAAACGUUGGCAGAGCUCUAAUACGUUUGCACCACAGCUGACUGUUGGACAAAAAAUUGCAGAAGCUACAUCGGGAUGACCGUCCACUGGUGGUCUGAUGGUCUCACCCGCCGGAGGGCUUUGCUUGCCAUUUGCCAAACCAAAGAGAGCCACACCUAUGAUGUGAUAGCGAACGCCAUCAACGACAUACACACCGAAUUUGGCAUUGAAAAAAAUGUCGUCGCCACCAUCACGGACAAUGGCUCAAACUUCCUGAAAGCAUUUAACUUUUUUGGAUUGCAACUACUUGAUGAGACCUCUGAUAAUUCUGACGACGGGAAUCUCUCGUCCGAAGAAGGCGAGGUAACGGAGUUUUUUAAAAUAUCGAAGAUUUUGAGUACUGGACCUGCACGCCCUCCCGUACCAGAAAAAAGGCAAUGUCUUGAUUCCGAACAUAGCGAUGAAGAAGCUUCUAACCAGAGCAAUGAUUCCAUUGAGUCCUUAACUGACGAAAUUCGUCUUCCUCCUCAUUUCAAAUGUGGAUGCCACCUACUUAACCAUCCGAGCUCAUUUAGGAAGUUGAAGAGGAAAGUAGAUGGAAAACUGCAAGCAAUCUAGAAUCAUCAGAACAGGAGUUAUUUGAAGUCGGAUCUUAUCAAGUCGACUAUGGGAAAAUUAUUUGUUAUUCACAAUGCCACUCGAUGGAACGGCUACUGCGUCGCUGUGGAUCGGGUCAGAGAUUUCCUUAUCAACAAAAACGAUGCGUUUGAUAAGCUUUGCAAAGACCUUGGUGACAUCAAGAAAUUCACUCAGGCUGAGAUCGAGUACGUCAUCGAGUACACCAUCAUUAUGAAACCCUUGUCUGAGGUUUUAGACCUCUUUCAAAAUGAAUCGAACGUCUCAAUUGGAUGUCUACAUCUUUGGAUAUCUGAACAAGAGCGUUAUUUGGACAUCCGCCUUCUGAAACGUGAAGUCACUGCUAGAAAGGAAAUUCUCCGAGCUGAGAGCUCUCUGUCCGACAGUUCUACCUUUAGCGGAUCGACCGCGAAUGAAAAUCGUGUUACGAAGCAGCGACUGCGGUUCUUGGAUGCCUACAAAAAACGCAGCUCGAGUGAUCUUGAAGAGGUGGAUUAUUACUUCAAUGAGGAACAAGUUGAUCGAUCUCAGCUAGACAAAUAUCCGACGAAUUAAUCAAUUUUCAGGCAGUACAAUACUGCGUUGCCCUCGUCUGCAGCUUGCGAGCAAACAUUUAGUUUCGGAGGACUCAUCUUCACUGUCAAACGGGGGUCAAUGACUAAUAGCACCUUUGAAAAGUUGACUUUAUACAAAAUCAACAACAAUAUUUUCAAAGAUUGGAAUGAGACUCCAUCGACCGUUAAAAAGCGGUCAAAUUACAUUGGUUAAAGUUUUUGACCAAUGUAAUUUGGUUCACAAUAUUCCAUUUGUCAUAUCAGUUAUUGUUUAAUUAAUAAUUGUAUAACAUCUA